UACAGAGGGGGCAAGCGUUAUUCGGAAUUAUUGGGCGUAAAGGGCGCGUAGGCGGCCUGGCAAGUGGAAGGUGAAAUCCCUCGGCUUAACCGAGGAACUGCCUCCCAAACUGCUUGGCUUGAGACCGGGAGAGGUGAGUGGAAUUCCCAGUGUAGCGGUGAAAUGCGUAGAUAUGCGGAGGAACACCGAUGGCGAAGGCAAUCCCCUGGACCUGUACUGACGCUCAUGCACGAAAGCGUGGGGAGCAAACAGG
rnacentral:rRNA from 1 species